UGCUAAGGGAUGAGGGAGGGUACCACAUGUCCCACGUGUCCUCCUCACCGCAGACCCAUCGCAUUUUCUCUUUCGCUUCCCCAUCCUUCGUUUCCGCAUACCGCAGAUACGCACACACAUACGAUACGACCUCAUCCAUACACCCAUACGCACCCGCCUUGCGGAGCGAUGCAUCCGCGGUGCGCACUCUCCCCGUCCUCACUACAUCCUCACUGAUCAGACUCCGGGCCCGUGUUGAUCACUUCAGCCGCAGGCCUAAUAAGACUAUGAUUCAUUUUUUCCAUCAAUCUGAUAUGCAAAUCCAAAAUUCUCCGGCUGCAGGAGACGCGUAAAAGAGUAGGGGGGGAGACAUGAAAAGACGCGCACCGUCAGAUGUUUAGCAGGUUCACUUCGGAUCUUCGCCAUCAUCUUGCGCUUUUGCUCUUUUUUUCCUUAUUCCCUCCAUCGGCCAGUUCGGGACAUUUUGCGGCUCUCGAUGCUGUAAGCCGGGGGAAUAUGUGAAGAUCAUGCUGGCGGUGUGGUGCUUCAUGGUCUUUGCUGCAGUGGGCGAGCGCCUCGGAGUCUCAGGUGUGGACCAGAGUCCGGAGCAGGAUGGAGACAUGUGGGACUGGUUUAAGGCGGACAGCAGAGACACAGGAACUGAAGUCACCUAUCCGAAGAGGCUGGUGCAGCAGAGCAAGUCUGAGGGGGAAAUGGCUCAUGAGCACCUGGAUACCAGGGUGAAGAACAGCACAGCACACCCAUCGCCUGUUCACUUGGCCCAGAGCUGUUUUCAAGUUCAAGCCUUUGGACACACCUUUACCUUGGACCUGGAGCUAAAUCAUCACCUCCUGUCUUCAGAAUAUGUGGAACGGCACUUUAACCAGGACGGCAGACCCUCGCAGUCAGUGGGAGGUGAGCACUGCUACUAUCAGGGACGACUAAGAGGUUUACCAGAGUCCUGGGCAGCUCUAUCCACCUGCAACGGCCUUUGUGGUAUGUUCUCUGACGGCUUCUUCUCUUACGGGAUUGAACCCAUUCAGAACGGAAGCACGCAGGAUGAUGGCGCUCACUUAAUUCGUAGGAUGCCUGAUAUCAGACUUUCCCCCGACUGCCCAGACUGUACAGAGGACAAGUGGGACAGCAGAGGAGGUGACGGCGACAACGACCGACCAGAACAAAUAAGGGAGCAACAGGUGUCAGGUGGACUCAGGAGAUCCAAGAGAUUUGUUCGCAGACCCUCCGUCCAGACCGAGACCAAAUAUAUUGAGCUGAUGGUGGUCAACGACAAUGAAAUGUUUGUAAAGCUGCGCAACAGCCAAACCAAGAACUUUGCCAAAGCAGUGGUCAACAUGGCAGAUGCGAUCUUCAAGGAACAGCUGAACACAAGGAUCGUUCUUGUUGCCAUGGAGACCUGGUCCUCUAAAGACAUGAUACCCAUCGUGGAGGACCCGUUGGUUACGCUGCAGAACUUCAUGAAGUACAGGAAGGACAACAUCAAAGAGCAGUGUGAUGUCGUCCAUCUUUUAUCGGGCCAUAAUUUUCAUAGUAGUCGCACUGGGACGGCCUAUACUGGAGGGGUUUGCUCUCUGACGAAGGGCGGAGGCGUCAAUGAGUACGGGAAUGUCGGUGUCAUGGCCAUCACUUUGUGCCAAAGCCUGGGCCAGAACAUCGGGAUGAGGUGGAACAAUAUACGCAACUCUGCAGGAGACUGCAGGUGUCCGGACACCUGGCUGGGCUGCAUCAUGGAAGACACGGGAUACAAUCUGCCCAGAAAGUUUUCUCGCUGCAGUGUUGACGAGUACAUCCAGUUCCUGCUCCAGGGGGGCGGGAGCUGCCUCUUCAACAAGCCCAGCAAGCUGUUUGACCCUCCAGAGUGUGGGAAUGGCUUUGUGGAGGCAGGCGAGGAGUGUGAUUGUGGAUCCCAGGUGGAGUGUGCACGAAGUGGAGGCGCAUGCUGUAAGAAAUGUACGCUUACCCACGACGCCAUGUGCAGUAAUGGACUCUGCUGCAGCGGCUGUAAGUACGAGCAAAGAGGUGUUGUGUGUCGCGAGGCUGUGAACGACUGUGAUAUCCCAGAAACCUGCACCGGAGACUCAAGCCAGUGCCCACACAAUGUGCACAAGCUGGACGGAUACAUGUGUGAUAGCAUUCAGGGACGCUGUUACGGGGGGCGAUGCAGGACUCGUGAUGGACAGUGCAAAGGACUCUGGGGUUAUAAUUCUGCAGACAGGUUUUGUUACGAGAAGCUGAAUGCCGAGGGGACGGAGAAGGGAAACUGUGGUACCGGUCCUGACGGUCAGGGCUGGCUGCAGUGUAACAAGCCGGAUGUUUUAUGCGGCUUUCUGUUCUGUGCCAACGUGACUAUGAACCCAAAGUUCGGAGACCUGCUUGGUGAGUUGACCAGCUUCACCCUCUACCACCAGAACAAGUACCUGGACUGCCGAGGAGGACAUGUCCUGCUGGAGGACGGCUCAGAUCUCGGGUAUGUGGAGGACGGGACUCCCUGCGGUCCCAAUAUGAUGUGUUUGGAGCGACGCUGCCUCCCUGUGGUGGCCUUUAACCUCAGCACCUGCCCUGGAUCAAACUUUGGACGCAUCUGUUCUGACCACGGGACCUGCAGCAACGAGGUGAAGUGCAUCUGCGACCGGGACUACACCGGCAAGGACUGCAGCGUCUUUGACCCCAUCCCUGAGCCCACGGUCCCCCCGGGUCCUGAGAAGAAAGUCUGCCAAUGACACAGAGCAAUUGAGCAGCUGUUCUCAUAGGGCCAAAAAGAGCCAAAAGAGCCAAAGCCACCCUGAGCAAGAGGGUGUCCAGCUGAAAGAGCAGGAGAGUGGCAAUGAGAACAAAGUCCCAGUGGCACCAAUAUCAUAAUAGGGUCCAUCGCAGGUGCUAUUCUCCUGGCAGCUAUAGUCCUAGGGGGAACAGGAUGGGGAUUUAAGAACAUUCGAAGAGGAAG